ACUUCAUUGAUUGGUGGUUGGCGAUCAGCUUGGCACCUGAGAGAUAUGRAGACUAACGCUUGAGAAAUGAGAAGCAAGCUACACUCGUGACUCGCUCACUCCAAGUACUCAAACAACGUUAAACAAGGCUCAAUUUGCAGUACAUUUUGCAUCAGUGUUUUGAUUGCAUCACCCACCAGCCUGAAAUGAUCAAGAAUGAAGAAGUCUCUGCCAGCUAGAGAAUUGCCAAAGAGACGACGCAAGCCAGCUCCUAAAGUGAGGGAGAUGGAGACCCUUCUCAUGAUGCUGAUGACACAAGAGAUCUGUUUGCCUUUGUGAGGUUUGAGGAUGGACACUCAGCAAAGAUUCUGCUGCCAMAUUUUAUGGCAAGAAUUUAGUACAUCCUCUUCACUCUCAUUCUUCCCAGCCCCACUGUCUAUACCCCCCACCAUACCAGGAUGGUGCACACUUCAAAGCUCCCGACUCUGACUCUCCAGGAGCUGGCCCAAGCUAUUUCAACCUGGACCAGCAGGUUAACACCCCUUUGUUGAGAGGUUUGACUCCCAGGGAGUCAUUCACGGGCAUGCUGCUGUCAUCUGAAGAACCAGGUCCACUGAAUGCAGAAUCCAGAGCUCCAACACCAUCUGCUUUUGCUGACACAGUUGUUAUUGACCGCAGUCCACAGAGCGAAUAUGGGGAGCCCAUGGAAGAUGAACACAGACCAUGGCAGCCAUGCCAGAUCUGCAAACAGCAAGUUUACAAACUAAUGCAGGAAAAGAGGAAAAUGGAAGAAGUGCAUUUGAGCUUGAGCCCUGACCAAGUCAAAGCUGUGAGGGGCUUGUGACAGUUUUGAGAAAUUCCAAGAGGCUGCAUCCGACACACCUACUAGGAUGGGCAAGCAGGAGCUGUAUCRGGGCUGUGGUCUGUACAUAUAAUUUAAUCUUGCCGCAAUUCAUCAAACAUUACAGCGUGACUGGCUCUGCCUGUUCCAUCUCCUGUUUGACCAUUUUUGUCACUGACAAGGAGUGUGUCAACCCUGUUGCCUUUGGAUGGCAUGGAAAGUGUCCUGAAGGCAAAUCGAUGCUGGACCAGGCCCGAGUGAACGCAAUCCUGACUUAUGUCAUGCGUUAUGCAUCCGUGGAGUCUGGUAAACUAAAGGCCCUCAUUAACAAGUUCCGGACCGUGCUGAAUAAUCCAAACGUUAAAACACGAUAGGCCAGUUGGGGGAUUGGGCUCUUAAACAAAGUAUGCAGAGCUGGGAAGAUUGUAUCCCGGUGAUCCAGGUAGAGUAAUUACCUACCAAAAGUACAGAGAYAACCUAAUGAGAGAGCUGCUGGAGGAGCACCACACCCCUCGGCGCCCAUCCACUGGGGGCCGUCCUGCUGCAGACAAUCCCCUACGCCUCACUGCACAGAAURGUCACUGCAAAGUCUGCCUGUCUGGCACCAAGAGAAGGAAGCAGAGGAGGUUGACAAAGUACAUGUGUUUAACUUGUGACACACCUCUAUGUGUUUCACCAUGCUUUGGGGAGUAUCAUAUGRUCAAGUACUAUUGAGUACAUCUGCAGCAAUUACUGACAGGUGGCCUGCCAUGAUCUUAUGCCUUUAGAGGUGGGGGGUGGAAAUGCACUGCAUGAAUAUGAAAUAUGGGUUAUGCAUAUUCAGUUUUUUUCCCCUCUAGUAAAACAAGUUGUUGUUCAAGCAUCACCAAUACUUCAAUAAAAUAGAUGACUAUUA